rnacentral:rRNA from 1 species
GGCUACUGCCAGACAAUCAUUAAUGCACCCAAGCUUGUCUGAUCUUGGAAGCUAAGCAGGGUCCAGCCUGGUUAGUACUUGGAUGGGAGAAUGGGAUUUCUCAAUAGUAAAUGUCA